rnacentral:sRNA from 1 species
GGAUCGAUCGGGAUACUCAUCAAAUUAUUACUGAAAACCGAGAACGCAUUUAACUAAUGGCGGGCCACGCCCCUGUCGCCAGGUCUUCGAGCCUGGAGUUUCGGCAGUUAAGGUAACUCUUCGAGUCGGUGGAUUACAAAGGUUAAAGUAGCACUCAAAUCUUAUAUUACUCGGAGUUUCAUCACAUCUCCU